GACGAACGCUGGCGGCGUGCUUAACACAUGCAAGUCGAACGGAAAGGCCCUGCUUUUGUGGGGUGCUCGAGUGGCGAACGGGUGAGUAACACGUGAGUAACCUGCCCUUGACUUUGGGAUAACUUCAGGAAACUGGGGCUAAUACCGGAUAGGAGCUCCUGCUGCAUGGUGGGGGUUGGAAAGUUUCGGCGGUUGGGGAUGGACUCGCGGCUGAUCAGCUUGUUGGUGGGGUAGUGGCUUACCAAGGCUUUGACGGGUAGCCGGCCUGGGAGGGUGACCGGCCACAUUGGGACUGAGAUACGGACCAGACGCCUACGGGAGGCAGCAGUGGGGAAUAUUGCACAAUGGGACGGAGCCUGAUGCAGAAACGCCGCGUGCGGGAUGACGGCCUGCGGGUUGUAAACCGCUUUCGCCUGUGACGAAGCGUGAGUGACGGUAAUGGGUAAAGAAGCACCGGCUAACUACGUG
rnacentral:rRNA from 1 species